AUCCAACUCUGAUGGAAGCGGUAAUAUUUUAUGGUGAUGUUCGUCAUAAAAGAUAUAGCAAACAGCGGAACUAUGG
rnacentral:sRNA from 1 species